CGAUUGCCGCUAUUGGAGUUCGAUUAAGCCAUGCGAGUCGAUCGGGUUAGACCCGAGGCGAACUGCUCAGUAACACGUGGAGAAUCUAACCUUAGGUGGAGGAUAACCUCGGGAAACUGAGAAUAAUCCACCAUAGAUCUUGGCUGCUGGAACGCAUUUAGAUUGAAAGCUAAGGCGCCUAAGGAUGACUCUGCGGCCUAUCAGGUUGUAGUUAGGGUAAAGGCCUAACUAGCCUUCGACGGGUACGGGUUGUGAGAGCAAGAGCCCGGAGAUGGAUUCUGAGACAUGAAUCCAGGCCCUAAGGGGCGCAGCAGGCGCGAAAACUCCGCAAUGUGCGAAAGCACGACGGGGGAACUCCGAGUGCCAAUGCUAUGCAUUGGCUGUUUCUAAGCCUAAAAAGCUUAGAGAGUAAGGGCUGGGUAAGACGAGUGCCAGCCGCCGCGGUAAUACUUGCAGCCCAAGUGGUAAUCGUUAUUAUUGAGCCUAAAAAGUUCGUAGCUGGUCUAUUAAAUGCAUAGAUAAAUUGAAGGGCUUAACCUUUCGAUUUCUAUGUAGACUAAUAGACUUGAGAUCGGGAUAGGUCAGAGGUACUCUAGGGGGAGGGGUGAAAUCCUGUAAUCCUUAGAGGACCAACAGUGGCGAAGGCGUCUGACGAGAACGAAUCUGACAGUGAGGAACGAAGCCCUGGGGCGCGAACGGGAUUAGAUACCCCGGUAGUCCAGGGUGUAAACUCUGCCUGCUUAGCGUUAGGCACUCUUUUGGGUGCCUAGUACUGGAGAGAAGUUGUUAAGCAGGCUGCUUGGGGAGUAUGGUCGCAAGGCUGAAACUUAAAGGAAUUGGCGGGGGAGCACCGCAACGGGAGGAGCGUGCGGUUU
rnacentral:rRNA from 1 species